GCCGGAGUGGCGUAGUGGUAACGCAACUGUCUUGUAAACAGUUGUCGCGGGUUCGAUUCCCGCCUCCGGCUCC
rnacentral:tRNA from 1 species